rnacentral:pre_miRNA from 1 species
GAACUGACUGUCACUGACCUAGCCCCCAACGGGAGCACUGGCUGGAAUAUUGAGGAAAGUAAGUGCUCCCCUGUUGAGGCAUCGGUCUAGUGA